CACAAGGCACGUAAAAAAAAUCUGUAAUGUUUUUUUCUUCUCCAUUUAUUGGUCACAUAAGCGUAUGAACUGGUGUGCAUUUCAGAGCACCAAAGUCUCCAAGAUGGAAAUAAUGGUGAUGAUUUUACUAGGAAGUCAGGGUGAGUUUCCAGCUAUUUUAGCCUGGAUUCUGAAUGCCACUGUUUGGGUGUGGAGGCAGCUGUGGGGCUCAUUAUUUUGGACCGACUAGCUGGACAGACUUUGAAUGCUCAGGAAAAACACAGGAACUGGGACACCAAAGUAUACUCUGUUGUUGUUGCUGCUUUAAGCUUUUGAUUACCUUUUCUUAUUGAUUUUCUCUGCCUUCUGAGCAAGGACGCAUAUUAACAUCAUUUUUUCUUUGAAGACCACGGCUUUGUGGGGAGAACAACAGCCAUGCUUGGUCUCAUCCUCAUAGUGAUCUUCAUUGUACAUGGGUGCAGUGGCGGAAACAUUUUAGUCGUACCUGUGGAUGGCAGCCAUUGGAUCAACAUGGAGGUAAUACUCAGAGAACUGCAAUCCAGAGGCCACCAACUCACUGUGCUGCGAUCCCCCAACAGCUGGUACAUCCCCGAAAUCUCUUCUUUCUACACCACCAUUACCGUCACAUCUCCAGAAGACCAAGGCGAAGGAUUUGAUCCUAGUUUAUUCUCUCUUCUCAUGCAGAGAUCAUUUGAACAAAACAAGAUGACACCAUUCUGGCAUUUUAUUGAGCAGCUAAAGGAUCGAGCUCAUACGAUUCACAUUUUUCACUCCGCAACUCUGCAUUUCAUCUCCACCAUAUUGAAUGACUCCAUUUUUUUAACCAGGUUGAAAAGCACCCGCUUUGAUCUGUUGUUAACGGACCCUGCCUUCCCCACAGGGGUAAUACUAGCACAAUAUCUCAAACUGCCAAUGAUCUAUAGUGUUCGUUGGAUCAAUGCUGGAGAAGCACAUGGAGAAUUAGCUCCAUCCCCUCCUUCCUAUAUUCCAGCCUACAACUCACUUUUCAGUGACAACAUGAAUUUUCUUCAGAGGACAUUUAACCUUUUACGGUACCUAGUAAGUAUCCUGAUAGAGGAGGUAUUUAUAAUGCCUGUUUACUCAGAACUGCUGCAUCGGCACUUUCCUCCUGGAGCUGACCUGCGCUCCAUGCAGCACUCAGCUGACAUCUGGUUGAUGAGGGUAGACUUUGUGUUCGAGUUCCCAAGGCCUACCAUGCCCAAUAUGGUCUAUAUAGGAGGUUUCCAGUGCAGGGAAGCCAAGCCCCUCCCUACUGAACUUGAGGCCUUCAUGCAGAGCUCUGGAGAGCAUGGAGUAGUCGUGAUGUCUCUUGGAACUUUGGUUUCCGCUCUCCCAAAGGAAAUGACAGAGGUCAUCGCUGAAGCUUUUUCCAGGCUCCCUCAGAAGGUGGUGUGGCGGUAUUUGGGCCACAGACCAUCUAACCUGGCCAACAACACCCUGCUGCUGGAAUGGCUCCCUCAAAACGACCUCCUCGGACACCCCAGGACUCGUGUUUUUGUUGCCCAUGGAGGCACCAACGGUCUGUAUGAAGCCAUCUACCAUGGAGUGCCAGUUCUCGGCCUUCCCCUCCUAUUCGACCAGUUUGAUAACCUAAUCCGUCUGAAGGGGCGUGGCGCAGCUCGAGUGGUGGACGCAUCGUCAGUCAAUGUGGAGGACUUUGUGGAGGCCUUGAGGGACAUGCUGGAGAAUCCCUCUUAUCGAGACAACAUUCAGAGACUUUCUCGACUGCACCACGACAAGCCCCUUUCCCCUUUAGACACUGCUGUUUUCUGGAUUGAGUAUGUCAUCAGGAACAAAGGAGCGGCUCACCUCCGCUCAGCAGGUUCCAGCCUGCCUUGGUAUACCUACCAUAGCAUAGAUGUAGUGAUCUUUCUCUUGGCACUCGGCGUUGCUUUCCUCUGGAUAUUGAUCUAUGCCUGUAGGCUCUGUCACUGGAGUUACAGAACUAAGAGCAAAGUUGAGUAAAAUCGGUUCUUUCGAUUUCAUAUCGAUAUUUGAAACACCCUAAUUUACUUUAAAAUAGACAAACUCCAUUGAUUAUAUUCAGUAUACAGUUGUUUCACACAUGAGGAAGGUUUCACUUUGAAGUAUUUAAAAGACUGGUCAUAUUGCAAAAGUUAUGUUUUUUGCAUGUUGUAACAAAUACUUUAUAGGACCCAUUGCCUAAAAUUCCUAUUCAACCAUUUGAAUUAUGUAUGGCUUUCUCCCCAGUGGUUUUACCUUAUUUAACAUUGUCUACUGCAUCUCUGUGUUACAUAACUUCUUAGGUUUUUGAUGAUGAAGACAAGAAUAAUCAAUGAGAGAUGUUCUUAUUUCAGUGUCAUGUUCGUGAAUGUCAAUCAAUAAAAUGUGGGUCUAUCCAUCAUUAACUUUUUUCUCAAAGAAAACAAAUGUUAAUGUUUAUGUUAACUGAAUAGUAUCAAAUAUAUAGUUAUAGUAGUCAUCUGAAUAUAUAGUUCUCGUAGUCAUCACAUGGAUCAUAUUCAAAACAAAAACAUGGUUCUUUGUUAUGCCAUAGCCAAAAUGAAGAUUACGGCCACAGUGAUCACACUUCAAGCAUAACCUAAUCCCAAAGAACUAUCCUGAUACUUUUACACAGUACCCAUAUGUUGACAUUAUUCUGAACAUAUGUUGAUAUUUGAUAUUCUCAACAGUCUCCUAUGGUACACACAAUCCACCUUCCCCACCACUCACUGCACUGAAUUAAUGAAAACAUUAGAUGCUAAAUAUAUUGCAGGUACCUAACCCUAUCGACAUGAGAUGCAUCUAAUCUCAGCUGCUGAUCUCACCGCUCGUCCUCCUUAGUCACCGGUUCUCCAUCACACAAAACUAAUUUACUAGAAUCGAGCGAGCAAAAAGUGAGUAAGAAACCUUGAACAACAGGAAGACACAGAGAGAGACCAAGAGGUGGGGGGGGGCCGUGAGAUUCCUGGAUAGACGAGGCGUUCUCCCUGAACAGGAACUUGCCUUUUAAAAAACGGGAGAAGUGGUUUUCCUGUGGAGGAAACGAUCAGAGAAUAGUGGAGGCCCAGCCGAGACACUUUGUUCUCAUUGUAGCGACACACUGGUCAGGCAAGCAGCCGAGCAGAAGCUCACACGGUUCUCCUGUGGCGCACUGUGAUUCCUUGAUCCCAGUCGGAACGCGAGAAGGAACAAGGUGCGAUCUGGGUAAUUAAGUUAUUUCCUUUGACCCUCAAUGAAAGCUGUGAACUUUUUUAUGAAUUAGAGAAAAUGGCAGAGGGGGCCAUACUAUGCAAUAUGGAAGACUACAGAGAUGGAAGCACAAAGAGAAAACGCUAGUACUACAAAGAUCAAAAUGUAGAAAUGCCACAGCAUUCCAUUCAAUCUCAUCCUACCCAAAUCUCUCUCUUUAUCAGAUUAUUUGUGAGCAAAUUAACCCAAUGUGAUUGUCAUUUGGCAGAUAUCAUUUUCUACAUUCUACUGAAAACAAGGAUUUUUACCAUGUAAGGCGUUGGAGUGAUUAUGUACUGACAGCGAUUAUG